GUAGGUGAACCUGCGGAAGGAUCAUAGUUAUGGAGAGGCGGUCAUUCUUGGCCCCUCGAUACACUCUGGAUGCAAUGCACCUCGGUGCUAGUUGCUGGCCUCUGCGCCGCAACAUAUCUUUGAAUCCAAUCAUGACCACACGUACCCAAAGUAACUUUACAACCGGUAGCGUUGGAUCCCUUGGCACGUCAUUCGAUGAAGACCGUUGCAAAAUGCGAUAAGUGGUGUGAUAUGCAAGUCCAAAACUUAUACGUGAACCAUCGAAUUGUUGAACGCACUGCAUCGAGCCUUACCCAGGAACGAUACGCCCCAUUGAGCGUCAUUACGUCUUCGCGACACCGUCAUUUACCUGACGUGUCCGGGUUCGGGAUUCACAGCUCGCGCUGCGCUUCCUUAGAUACAUUGCUGCACACGGAUCGACAGUCUCCUUGUCAUAAAUGCCAGGGACGGCUUGAGAUGCGCAUGCAAGAUCGGUCUCUCGCGGACCUGAUCGAUCGCAACGGCCGGCUCACGCUGGUCCGCGCACUUCUACACAUGACCUCACGGGGGCGGGACGACCCGCUAGACUUAAGCAUAUUAAUCAGCGGAGGAAAAGAAACUAACAAGGAUUCCCCUAGUAACUGCGAGUGAACAGGGAUGAGCUC
rnacentral:rRNA from 1 species